UCAGUAAAGACACUAAAUGGCAGAAGGUUAUAUUAUUGGAGCAGGAUGAAGUAUGAAGGAUUUCUUCCACUUCUCCAGUAUGGCAGUCAAAUCAUUGCUCUCGCAGUCACGUGACUGCAGUACAUCUGGACCCUAUAUAUCUGAAAGCUGAUUACCAAGCAAUCAGCCCUCCCAAUCUUCUCUAACAUGUGCCUAGAAAAGUGCCAGAAGAAACUGUGAUACAGCAAAUCAAAUGAGGUAGACGGGGAACAGAUUUGGGAGCAAUGUGGGGUCCUGAGACAACAGAUGAAGCUCCAGGAAGACUCUAGCCUGCCACAUGUAGUACAGGCUGAAGACCUCCUAGACAUGGCAGAUCCCAGACUCCUAGGAGAAGACAAGCUGUUUCUCAUGGGAGCAUCCAUCUUUUCUAAAGAUGCCUUUGCCUCGAAGACAUUCUUACUCCUCCUUCCAAUGCUUUAGAGGCUGGCGACAUAAAACAUUAAUGUCAGAGCAAACUGUAAAUUACAACUGAUAUUUCAGUGACUUUUUAUUUGUUGAGGGAGAGAAGACGGCAAA